rnacentral:lncRNA from 1 species
UGAAAUUUUGAGACAAAUUUGUCACAUUAUUUGAGUUAAUGUAUUAAAGACAAUAAUAUAUAGGGUUAAGUAUGCUUUUAGUCCCUUAAGUAUCAUUGAUUUUUGGUUUUAGUCCCUACUCAAAACAUUGAUGGCAUUUGAUCCUCUUAUUUCUGAAAUUAUUACAAUUAGUCCUUAAAAUUAGACGGUGUUAAAUUUUUGUAUGAUGUCACUAACGGUGAACCAGGUGUGUGCCACGUUUUUUUUUUCUGAAAUUUUUUCCACGUUUUUUCCAAACCCUUCCUUCAUCACAAUCUCCAGCAGACACCCCAACCUCCUCCACCAUCUUCUCCCCAGCCGCCGCCAACUUCAUGCUCGCCGGCCACCACGCGCCACCGUUCAUCAUUACCAUCCCGCCAAUGCCUUUUCUCGCUCACCGCCGACAUCCUUUUCGCAUCGCAACAGCACCACCAUGGAAGCAUCUCCAUUCUCGCGUUCACCAUUAAACCCCAAUCACAAAACGCGAUCUCCUUCCUCGCAUCUUCACAAUCAUCUUCUUCCCAGAUACACC